rnacentral:lncRNA from 1 species
UUUUUAUAUUCAGUUCCUAUUUAAUUCACCUUUGUCGUGUUAACAUAACUGAUGCAAGAUGAAAUCCUGAAUCUCUAAAGAAAAGAGUAAAAUAGUAAUUAAAAAUAUUUAAACUUUUCUGGUAUUUAUAUACAUGUGUAAGAUAAAUUACAGAGAUAACUGAUAAAUAUUUGAUUGAACAAGUCAUUGUAGUAAUACUAUUACUAUUGUUAUCGGUAAAGUGUGGCCAACUCCUAAUAAAGUUUAUCUUGAUAAUUAAUGUUUAUGACACUUAGGAGCAAUUAGUGACACUGAUAGUUUUUGUUUUAAGCACUUUUAAUUUUAUCCUUCCUAAAAAUAGUUUAUUGUGUCAGACUAGAAACUACUUAACCAUUGUGUCUUUGCCAUCGUUUCUGCCUUUAGCAUUCUCUGCAAAUUCACUUAAAAGCUCGUGCUUGAGUCAUGAUUUGCAGAAGGUCCCCUGAACAACUUCUAGGUGAACCUCAGUUCUGUACUUGAAUAUCAAAAUUAAUGCUUUUUAGAUAAACAUUUUUUAUCAUUUAAUUUGG